rnacentral:rRNA from 1 species
UACGUAGGAUGCAAGCGUUGUCCGGAAUUAUUGGGCGUAAAGAGCGCGCAGGCGGUAUGACAAGUCAGAUGUGAAAGAGGCCGGCUUAACCGGCAAGGGUCAUUUGAAACUGUCAGACUAGAGUGCAGCAGAGGAUAGUGGAAUUCCCGGUGUAGUGGUGAAAUGCGUAGAUAUCGGGAGGAACACCAGUGGCGAAGGCGACUUACUGGACUGUAACUGACGCUGAGGCAUGAAAGCGUGGGGAGCAAACAGG